rnacentral:rRNA from 2 species
GGGGUGCGGACAGUGUCUGGUGGGUAGUUUGACUGGGGCGGUCUCCUCCCAAAGAGUAACGGAGGAGCACGAAGGUUGGCUAAGCAUGGUCGGACAUCAUGCGGUUAGUGCAAAGGCAUAAGCCAGCUUGACUGCGAGAGUGACGGCUCGAGCAGGUACGAAAGUAGGUCUUAGUGAUCCGGUGGUUCUGAAUGGAAGGGCCAUCGCUCAACGGAUAAAAGGUACUCCGGGGAUAACAGGCUGAUACCGCCCAAGAGUUCAUAUCGACGGCGGUGUUUGGCACCUCGAUGUCGGCUCAUCACAUCCUGGGGCUGAAGUAGGUCCCAAGGGUACGGCUGUUCGCCGUUUAAAGUGGUACGCGAGCUGGGUUUAGAACGUCGUGAGACAGUUCGGUCCCUAUCUGCCGUGGGCGUUGGAAGAUUGAAAGGGGCUGCUCCUAGUACGAGAGGACCGGAGUGGACGCACCACUGGUGUUCGGGUUGUCAUGCCAAUGGCAUUGCCCGGUAGCUAAGUGCGGAAGAGAUAACCGCUGAAAGCAUCUAAGCGGGAAACUUGCCUUGAGAUGAGUCUUCCCUGACCCUUUAAGGGUCCUAAAGGAACGUUUAAGACUAAGACGUUGAUAGGUUGGGUGUGUAAGCAUAGCGAUAUGUUGAGCUAACCAAUACUAAUGAACCGUGAGGCUUAACCUG